rnacentral:rRNA from 1 species
CCCUUAGAUGUUCUGGGCCGCACGCGCGCUACACUGAUGCAUUCAACGAGUCUAAAACCUGCUCUGAUAGGGGUGGGUAAUCUUUUGAAUGUGCAUCGUGAUUGGGAUAGAUGAUUGCAAUUUUUCAUCUUCAACGUGGAAUGCCUAGUAAACGCAAGUCAUCAGCUUGCAUUGAUUACGUCCCUGCCCUUUGUACACACCGCCCGUCGCUCCUACCGAUUGAAUGAUCCGAUGAAUAUCAUGGAUUGAGGAUGCAAGCAGGUUCGCCUGUCUUCAUCUUCGAGAAGUGAAGUAAAUCUUAUCAUUUAGAGGAAGGAGAAGUCGUAACA